UAACACGUGUCAUACCUAACAUUUCACGUUAAACAUCUUUGUUAAUUUUUUUUUUUUUGUGCAACUCUUUGUUAAUUACACAGCAAGAAACAGGAAAAAUAGGUAAAUCAUACGCAGUGGGGAUGAACUAACACGUCGUGAUUAAUAAUAUUAACAAAGCUAAUUAAAAUUCAAAAUUUUAGUUACAAGUUACACGCAGAAAAAGCAGUUGGUGGACUUGUUAAAAAAAAAAAAAAAAAAAAGCAGUUGGUGGACCAGCAUGGCAGCAUCGGACUUUGACUCUUCUUCAGACAUCGCUCUUAGACGAGAGUGAUAAUUGUCGAUUUGCCAAACAAAUUGUACAAAAACAAAUAAGAUCGAAAGGACAAAGCUUUUUGCUCCUUUUUUCAACUUUUCUUGGUUCUGUUUUGUUCUCUUUGGUUCUAUUCCCCUCAGUGAAUCUUUCUAGCUGCGAUAUUUUUUUUUUUGGAUUUUCUUAUCCGGUACGGGGUUUCCGGUUCAUCUUCUAUCGUCAUUUGCUGUUGCCUAAAUCUUAUGGGAAACUGAGCAGGUUCGUGUCCUAGCAUCAUCUCCUUUGACUCGUUUUAUCUCUAUGCAAAGUCUUUUUUUUUUUACAAUCUCAGGGGAUGCGCUAUUUGCGUUGAGGGAUUUAGUUACGUGCAUUGCCUAAUCAACUCAGUGACUGGAAUCGGAAUCAAGUGAAUCCUUGCAUUUGGUCCCAAGUCAUUUGUGAUGACAAAAACUUUGUCACUUCUCUGUUCGCCUGAAGACAGACUAGUGAUGUCUGAAGUUGCACGGAUGUUAGAAGGAGAAGAGCUUGCAGAGAGAUGGGAAGAGUGGUAAAAAGUGGAAGUCACGAGAUGUCAUGAGUUCGAGAGGUUGCAGAGUGAGAGGAGGUUUGAUUGGGGUGAAGAUUCUAGAAGUACUUUUCUUCUAUGAAUAAUCAAGAUGCCAUUGAAUUAAUUACCAGGUGGAAGAUGACCAAAUAUCAAAUCUUGAUUUUACUGGAAAGCUGUAUACAUGGGCUAUCUUUGACUUGAAUCCUGUGAAAGAGAAUGGCCCUAAUGUUUGAUUGUUGCCUGUUCUUUGAACAUAAUUUUAUUUGACUUUUUUUCGUUGACUUCCCUUUGUGUCGUGCAAAAUGUCACUAGAGGUCAACGUAAUUUUUUGAAAAAGAAAAAAUGGUUAAAUCCGAAUC